UCCAGGGCGCAGGCUGGAACGCGCGGGCAGAGCACCCCACAAGCUGAGCGUGCCGGAGGCGCCCCUCCACAGCCACCCCACGGCCGCUGAAUGAGGCUUCUAGGCGUCCUCCCGCGGCCAGCAGCGCCCCGCCGGAGGGGCGCCCGCUGAGGCGCGGCCGCUGUGCCGGCAGCUCCUGCCCUCACCUGCUCCCUUGCGCGCCAUGGGGCACCUUGGGAACGGCAGCGACUUCGUGUUGGCGCCCAACGCAAGCCAAGCGCCGGACCACAACGUCACGCAGGAACGGGACGAGGCAUGGGUGGUGGGCAUGGCCAUCGUCAUGUCGCUCAUCGUCCUGGCCAUCGUGUUUGGCAACGUGCUGGUCAUCACGGCCAUUGCCAAGUUCGAGCGCCUGCAGACGGUCACCAACUACUUCAUCACCUCACUGGCCUGUGCCGACCUAGUUAUGGGCCUUGCAGUGGUGCCGUUUGGGGCCAGCCACAUCCUCAUGAAAAUGUGGACUUUUGGCAACUUCUGGUGCGAGUUUUGGACUUCCAUUGAUGUGUUGUGUGUCACCGCCAGCAUCGAGACCCUGUGUGUGAUCGCAGUGGAUCGAUACUUUGCCAUUACGUCGCCUUUCAAGUACCAGAGCCUGCUGACCAAGAAUAAGGCCAGGGUGGUCAUCCUGAUGGUGUGGGUUGUGUCGGGCCUCACGUCUUUCUUGCCCAUCCAGAUGCACUGGUACCGGGCCACCCACCAGGAAGCCAUCAACUGCUAUGCCAAGGAGACCUGCUGUGACUUCUUCACGAACCAAGCCUAUGCCAUUGCUUCCUCCAUCGUGUCCUUCUACGUACCCCUGGUAGUCAUGGUCUUUGUCUACUCCAGGGUCUUCCAGGUGGCCAAAAGACAGCUCCAAAAAAUUGACAGAUCGGAGGGCCGAUUCCACACCCAAAAUCUUGGCCAGGUGGAACAGGAUGGGCGGAGUGGGCAUGGAAUUCGCAGGUCUUCCAAGUUCUACUUGAAAGAACACAAAGCUCUCAAGACCUUAGGCAUCAUCAUGGGCACUUUCACCCUCUGCUGGCUGCCCUUCUUCAUUGUCAACAUCGUGCACGUGAUUCGAGACAACCUCAUCCCUAAGGAAGUUUACAUCCUCCUAAACUGGGUGGGCUAUGUCAAUUCUGCUUUUAAUCCCCUCAUCUACUGCCGGAGCCCAGAUUUCAGGAUUGCCUUCCAGGAGCUGCUGUGUCUGCGCAGGUCUUCUUUGAAGGCUUCUGGGAAUGGCUACUCCAGCAACAGCAACUGCAAAACGGACUACACCAGCGAGCCAAGUGCAUGUCACCAGGGGCAAGAAAAAGAAAGGGAACUGCUGUGUGAGGACCCCCCAGGCACAGGAGACUUUGUGAACUGUCCAGGUCUGCCUGCUUCCUUUCAUCCUCCACCCAAGAGAUUCUCCCACUUUGGAGCCAGAGUCAUCUCUCUGAGGGGCAGUGCUUUGCCAUUCUCCUUGUGAAACCAUUCUAUGCCCUACCACAUGUAGAGAGACGCCAAACCCUUCCCCAGACCCAGUGAACUAAUAGGAAUAUGAAGACAACAAGCUAACUUGAAGAAAGGAACUGAGACCCAGAGAGGAGCUCUGUCUUGCCCAGGCAGGGACCAGCAGUGAGAGCUCCAGCUCCCAGAGGAGGUGACACCAUUCUCUGCAGGCCAAGCCAGAGAAACUUCUGUGCAAAUGCACUGGGACCUUGCUGCAAAAUGCAUUUCAGGCUGUAGACAACCAUGUGAAAAGACAGAGAUUUGAAUUAUAAUAUUUGAGAGAAAUUCAUUAAGGAAACAUUGUAGUUGGUUAUUUAAUUACUAAGCUUAAGCAUUUGGGAUACCCUCUAUCAUAGCUGUCAAAUUUGGUAAAACUUUGUUAGCAAACAUCUGCUGUAAGUGUAUGCAUUAUGCCAGCAUCGUUAUAUGCCACUAUAAUAAUAUGUAUUUUAAAGCAUACACAGAAAUAAACAUUUUACCAGAAUGAAGGAGAAACAACACAAAAAAUUGUUCUGUUAUUUUAGUAAAUUGUCUUUUGUGCUCCUUCAGGGGCCUGCAACACAUUCUGGAAACCACUGUUCAAGAUCAUGGUUUUCCACACAUGAGAGGAAGGGUCAGGACUCCUCCAUGGGCCGGAAGUUAGUUCCCCAGGUUGCAGCUACCCAAAUAUAAAUGAGCUGCAAUAAAACAGAUAGAAAGUGGCCGGGCAAACUGCAGUGGUAAUGGUAACUAUUGUUCAGCAGGGCCUUUUUUCCAGGGAUGUAUAUGGGUGGGAGUAUUCCUGGGCUGAGUGGCGCAUACUGAAGGGUGAAUGCAUCUAAAUUAGCAGUUUGGUGAUUAUGAGAACCACUCCCAUCAUUCCUAACCUCACUACCCAUCUUCAAAAUGACUGCUUGUUACCAGUAUGACUAUCUCUUCUGAUCUAAAAUGAAACAAAAGCCCUCAGAGAUUCCCACAGCUUGCAAGAAGAGCUCUUACUCCUCAGCCUUGAGUCUGAGACCCUCCCGGCAGGGUCCUAAUUCCCCCUCUUAUUCCAAUUUUCUAAUUCCAGUCCUCUCCUGAUUUCCUGCUACUAUUUCCAUAAUUUGACCCCUAUUUUGGAGCAAUGUAAACUCCCAUAUCUUAUCUCUUCUUCACAUUUUCAAAUCCAACCCCUUCUUCCAGCUUUCUUCUGCAGCAGUGCCUUCUCCUUGAGCCCCUAUUAUCUUUCCAUUCUUUGAAUUGUCCGUAUGCAUGGAAGAAAACCAUUUUGUGAAAACUAGCUAAGUGACCAUGGUCUGAAAAGGAAAAAAAGAGGCCCAGAAUCACCCUUCUUGCUCCUCAAAUCCUCUCCCAGGCC